AGAGUUUGAUCCUGGCUCAGAUUGAACGCUGGCGGCAUGCUUUACACAUGCAAGUCGAACGGCAGCACAGGGAGCUUGCUCCCGGGUGGCGAGUGGCGCACGGGUGAGUAAUACAUCGGAACGUGUCCUGUUGUGGGGGAUAACUGCUCGAAAGGGUGGCUAAUACCGCAUGAGACCUGAGGGUGAAAGCGGGGGAUCGCAAGACCUCGCGCAAUUGGAGCGGCCGAUGCCCGAUUAGCUAGUUGGUGAGGUAAAGGCUCACCAAGGCGACGAUCGGUAGCUGGUCUGAGAGGACGACCAGCCACACUGGGACUGAGACACGGCCCAGACUCCUACGGGAGGCAGCAGUGGGGAAUUUUGGACAAUGGGGGCAACCCUGAUCCAGCCAUGCCGCGUGCAGGAUGAAGGCCUUCGGGUUGUAAACUGCUUUUGUCAGGGACGAAAAGGACCGUGUUAAUACCAUGGUCUGCUGACGGUACCUGAAGAAUAAGCACCGGCUAACUACGUGCCAGCAGCCGCGGUAAUACGUAGGGUGCAAGCGUUAUCCGGAAUUAUUGGGCGUAAAGGGCUCGUAGGCGGUUCGUCGCGUCCGGUGUGAAAGUCCAUCGCUUAACGGUGGAUCCGCGCCGGGUACGGGCGGGCUUGAGUGCGGUAGGGGAGACUGGAAUUCCCGGUGUAACGGUGGAAUGUGUAGAUAUCGGGAAGAACACCAAUGGCGAAGGCAGGUCUCUGGGCCGUUACUGACGCUGAGGAGCGAAAGCGUGGGGAGCGAACAGGAUUAGAUACCCUGGUAGUCCACGCCGUAAACGGUGGAUGCUGGAUGUGGGGACCAUUCCACGGUCUCCGUGUCGGAGCCAACGCGUUAAGCAUCCCGCCUGGGGAGUACGGCCGCAAGGCUAAAACUCAAAGAAAUUGACGGGGGCCCGCACAAGCGGCGGAGCAUGCGGAUUAAUUCGAUGCAACGCGAAGAACCUUACCUGGGCUUGACAUGUUCCCGACGGUCGUAGAGAUACGGCUUCCCUUCGGGGCGGGUUCACAGGUGGUGCAUGGUCGUCGUCAGCUCGUGUCGUGAGAUGUUGGGUUAAGUCCCGCAACGAGCGCAACCCUCGCCCUGUGUUGCCAGCACGUCGUGGUGGGAACUCACGGGGGACCGCCGGGGUCAACUCGGAGGAAGGUGGGGAUGACGUCAGAUCAUCAUGCCCCUUACGUCCAGGGCUUCACGCAUGCUACAAUGGCCGGUACAACGGGAUGCGACCUCGUGAGGGGGAGCGGAUCCCUUAAAACCGGUCUCAGUUCGGAUUGGAGUCUGCAACCCGACUCCAUGAAGGCGGAGUCGCUAGUAAUCGCGGAUCAGCAACGCCGCGGUGAAUGCGUUCCCGGGCCUUGUACACACCGCCCGUCAAGUCAUGAAAGUGGGUAGCACCCGAAGCCGGUGGCCCAACCUUUUGGGGGGAGCCGUCUAAGGUGAGACUCGUGAUUGGGACUAAGUCGUAACAAGGUAGCCGUACCGGAAGGUGCGGCUG
rnacentral:rRNA from 1 species